rnacentral:lncRNA from 1 species
CCAGAGAAAGUAGAGAAAGGAGUAUCUCUGGCUGUACAUUAAGCCUCUGGUCGUCACUAGUUACCACAACCACAAAGUCAUAAUUAUGGCUACACCUCGCCCAUUACUAACAUUUUUCUUCUUAAAAUCUGAUUUGAAACCUAACCUUAACCACACUGCUAACCUUACGCCUAACCGUAAAUUUAGCCCAAAAGUCGAAUUUUUACGAUAUCGUCCAUUUUCGACUCGGUAGCUGUGGUAACUAGUGGAAACGCUAAACCUCCUGCAUCCUUCCAGAUUUUACAGCUCGACGGAAGUGACCUAUUUUUGUUUUGGCUUUGUGAUUGGUGUAUUUUGAUGCAGUUUACAGUAGUCAUGGCUAGAAGGCAUCCAUCUUUUGUCAAAUUAACGUCAGAUUUUACAUUUCGUAGCAGCAAUUCCUGCUUGCAGUCUCAUCCACGAGAGUCAUCAUCCGCGGCCCAACAAAGUAUGCCCUACCGUGUAAUUCUCAAGAUAUCCAUCAGAUGGCAGUGCAGGUUUAGCUAUUGGAAAGGAACGCUACCGCUACCUCGCUCUCCAACCAAGAGCUUGCAUAUGUGUCUGCCGGUUAGCUUUCAAGAGUUGUUUACACCGUAAUCAGACCUGCAGCAUAGUUGUACAAGUGGUGGGACCCAACUCACUGGAUGAGAGUCUACUGUACAGCAUCUCCACCCAGACUUGAACAACAAAGACAAAGGGAAGAACAGCUUCUUAUUCAUCA